ensembl:lncRNA
GGUGAUCAUUUUAACACGUAAUCAGUGUGUCAUUAACGAGACUUGUUACAUUCUCUUUUCUCCUUUUGUGUUACAUCUUCAAAAUCUCCAGUGCAUUUUACACUCUCAGCCACACAUCGCAGCGCCAACUGGCCCCAUUUCAGUUGUUCAAGAGCCCCGUGUGGCGAGUGGCCACCAUCCUGGACAGUGCAGGGUGGGGUGCUCCUCAUGGGCCCUUCGACAAUCUCCCCGCGGAGGUAUUUUCAGGGCCCUGGAGUCCGUGCUCUGGAGGCCACUGAGCCCCAGGGACUCUCUGCAGCCCUUCUCCCUGCCCAGCCUGGAGCCCGCUCGGCACGUCCCCAGCCUCACAUGGGUCAUGCUGGCCAUGGGGCCUCCCAUGCAUGCAGACAGCAGCUCCCAGCUCCUCCCAGGGGCAACCCUCCUCCCCGCUCUGCCAGAGAUGCUGUAAAACCGCCAAGUCCCAGGGAGUCACCCUUCUGCUCAGAACCCUUGAGCUCACGGAGAGUGACCACCAGGGUCCUCCAGGGGCUGACAAGGCCGUGUGAUUGUCCCUCUUCCCAGGCACACCUCUCUGACCAUAUCUUUCCUCGCACCUGCUCAGCACGGGCCACACUGUCCUUUUUGUGACACAUGCCAGGCAGGGAGCCUCAGGUCCUCACUGCCCCUCUGCCUGACCUUGUCCCCCCCCCACAUAAGCAUGACUCGCCGACCAUCCACCUCCGUUUCAGGUCCCCCCUCAAAUGCAUCUUAGAGUGGCCCUCCCCCGCCAUCCCCCCCUCAAAACAGCCCUGCCCGCCCCUGACUCUGCCCCGACCCUGCCCCCUUUCCCUCCCCCCACAUACAUAUAAUGUGUCUGCUUGUUCUAAACUGACACCCACCCCCUCGAAAUGGAAGCCCUCCGGAGCGGCCACAUCUGUUCUAUUCACAGCUGCAUUCCCAACACCUGGAUGGUGCCUCGCCUGAGAAGAUAUGCUCCGUACCUAUUGUGCGGAAUGAAUGAAUGGAAAGAUUGCUCCUUCCCCUCCUCUCCCCCUUUCCACCCAGGGAGCCACGGGGAAGAGACAUCCUGGCGCUAAACAGGUGACAGGGGCGGGAGGGGGAAUGUUUAUUCUUUCCCCUUCCGCCUGCCUUCACUCACCCACUCAGCUGCCAUAUCCUAGGUUUGCGGGCUUGGGAACGUGACCUCGCUGCCCCGUAGCUCAUUUUCAACAUCUCUUAGGUGGGUUGCUUUGAGUACCUUCCUCGCAAAGUUGUUAUGGGACUGAAUAAAUUAUUAAUGCCUGGAAUGUGCUUGGUGCAGGGUCCGGCUUGUAGUAAGUGCUCAGUAAAAAGUAGCUACGGGUUGACUCAGUGUGGCUGUUUGAACAUAUGCUCCAUGCCAAGCGCUGUGACAAAUGCCGGUCACGUGGCAGGAAGAUACGGUUCCCAGCCGAUGUGGAUUGAGGAUAUAGACAAUUUCCGUGCAGGGGGCAGAGGUGAAGACAAGCCGAGACCAGCUCACCUGGAUUUCGGAGGGGGGGCCACCACUGCCCAAAUCUCUGUGAAUGGGUGCACGGGGUUCCAGCAGCCACAUGGAGUGACCUUCGUCCACUCCCUACUGCAGUGGAGAGGGUAUGGCAAGGCAGCGAGGGAACCUCUGCUCUGCCACCCACCUGGAGGGAGUCAUUUCUGUUCCUUAAGCCUCAGGUUUCUUAUCUGUAAAAUGGGUUGAUAACAAACAGCGCCUGCAUCUCACAUGGUGGGGAUUCAAGGAGCCGAUGCAUGUAGAGUACCUGGCAUGGCCCAGAGGCUGGAUGGACAGAGAUGCUAUCAGUACACCUCCCUUGCUGAAGUCCUGGCCAAGGGCAGGAGAGCGUGUGUGAGCCUCCUUGUCUGGCACCCUGCAUGCAGCUGGCCUUCCACCAGCACUUGUUCAAUGCACUGAGAGCUGGUUCAUGCUCUGAAGUCCCCUCUAGAGUGGGGCACAGAGGGGCCGCUCCAGGGGAGAUGCUUGAAGUCAAGGGAGGGAGAUGAGAGCUUCAGGCCCCUCUCAUU